rnacentral:rRNA from 1 species
UACGUAGGGGGCAAGCGUUGUCCGGAAUCAUUGGGCGUAAAGAGCGUGUAGGCGGCCAGGUAGGUCUGCUGUGAAAACUCGAGGCUUAACCUCGAGCUGUCGGCGGAAACCAUCUGGCUAGAGUCCGGAAGAGGAGAAUGGAAUUGCCGGUGUAGUGGUGAAAUGCGUAGAGAUCGGCAGGAACACCCAGGGGGAAACCAGCCGACUGGGCAAGUGCUGACGCUGAGGUGCGAGAGCGUGGGGAGCGAACCGG